UUUUGAAUUUAAAUAUAAAGUNUAAUCUGCCCCCUGAUAAAUUAUUUAAUGGCCGCAGUAUUUUAACUGUGCAAAGGUAGCAUAAUAAUUAGUCUUUUAAUUGAAGGCUUGUAUGAAUGAUUGGACGAGAUAUAAACUGUCUCAUAAAAAUUUUUUUUAGAAUUUAAUUUUUUAGUUAAAAAGCUAAAAUAAGUUUAAAAGACGAGAAGACCCCGUAGAUCUUUAUAUUUUUUUUUUAUUAUUAUUAUUUAGUUUUUUUAAAAAUUAAUAAAUAAAAAUAUUUUGUUGGGGUGACAUUGAAAUUUAAUAAACUUUCAAAAUUUAGUAACAUUAAUUUAUGAAUUUAUGAUCCUUUAUUAUUGAUUAAAAAUUUAAGUUACCUUGGGGAUAACAGCGUAAUUAUUUUGAAGAGUUCAUAUCGAUAAAAUAGAUUGCGACCUCGAUGUUGGAUUAAGAUUAAUUUUAGAUGUAGCAGUUUAAAGUAUUAASUCUGUUCGACUUUUAAUUUCUUACGUGAUCUG
rnacentral:rRNA from 1 species